GCUGAAUCUCUGUGAGACCUGGGCUGAUUGGGCUUCCCCGCGACCAAGUCCUCAGCUCCCCUUGGGGUCACGGAAGCUAAGCUUGGGUGGGGAGAUGUGGGGCCUUCCCAGGUGCUGAGCAACCCUUUUCUUUACCCUGUGGAGGGGACCUGGAGACAGGGACAGUGGAGGGGUUCAAGUGCCAAAAUCUCCCCAUCUCGACCCAGGGCUGAGAUGGGUCCCUGGAUCUUCCAGCUAUGAUGUCCCCAAGAAUCUGCAAAAUCUCCCACGACUCCUUCUGAUGGGGGGUGUGCGUUGGGGCGUGCCCAGGAAAGCCAGAAUAUUGUCACUAGGAGAGAAUGUUGUCAAUCAGAGGAAAUCUAACAGAGCCAGGGAGAUGCUUUGGGGAUCAUACAAGUCUCAAACCCAAGACCCGUUUCUGGAAAUGCUACCGUGUUCCAAGCAGAUCUCACCAGCUAGGAAUGGAAACAGAGGCAUUCUGUCAAAGGAAAGAACUUGAUGAGAAAUUAUUUUAUGAAAGCCAAAUUUUGGCAUGUUUUCACAUUUUAGUUUGUCAGAACACAGAGUAAUAAAUGUUAAACAUGUUGUUUAUUAUUAUGCUCGGUUGAUUUCUUUAUGAUGACAAUUUUAUUUUUCAAGUUUGUCCUCGAGUGACUGCAGGAUUCCAGAACAGAACGGGAGAGAUGUUUUACAGUUUAUCCCAGCAGGACCACUGGGAGAACAGUUUUUAUUUAAAAAAAAAAAAAAA
rnacentral:lncRNA from 1 species